rnacentral:rRNA from 1 species
GGAUGACACUUUUCGGAGCGUAAACUCCUUUUCUUAGGGAAGAAUUCUGACGGUACCUAAGGAAUAAGCACCGGCUAACUCCGUGCCAGCAGCCGUGGUAAUACGGAGGGUGCAAGCGUUACUCGGAAUCACUGGGCGUAAAGGGCGCGUAGGCGGAUUAUCAAGUCUCUUGUGAAAUCUAAUGGCUUAACCAUUAAACUGCUUGGGAAACUGAUAGUCUAGAGUGAGGGAGAGGCAGAUGGAAUUGGUGGUGUAGGGGUAAAAUCCGUAGAUACCACCAAGAAUACCCAUUGCGAAGGCGAUCUGCUGGAACUCAACUGACGCUAAGGCGAGAAAGCGUGGGGAGCAAACAGGAUUAGAUACCCUGGUAGUCCACGCCCUAAACGAUGUACACUAGUUGUUGGGGUGCUAGUCAUCUCAGUAAUGCAGCUAACGCAUUAAGUGUACCGCCUGGGGAGUACGGUCGCAAGAUUAAAACUCAAAGGAAUAGACGGGGACCCGCACAAGCGGUGGAGCAUGUGGUUUAAUUCGAGGAUACGCGAAGAACCUUACCUGGGCUUGAUAUCCUAAGAACCUUUUAGAGAUAAGAGGGUGCUAGCUUGCUAGAACUUAGAGACAGGUGCUGCACGGCUGUCGUCAGCUCGUGUCGUGAGAUGUUGGGUUAAGUCCCGCAACGAGCGCAACCCACGUAUUUAGUUGCUAACGGUUCGGCCGAGCACUCUAAAUAGACUGCCUUCGUAAGGAGGAGGAAGGUGUGGACGACGUCAAGUCAUCAUGGCCCUUAUGCCCAGGGCGACACACGUGCUACAAUG